CGGUGAAAUGCUUAGAUAUCACGAAGAACUCCGAUUGCGAAAGGCAGCUCACUGGACUGCAACUGACACUGAUGCUCGAAAGUGUGGGUAUCAAACAGGAUUAGAUACCCUGGUAGUCCACACAGUAAACGAUGAAUACUCGCUGUUUGCGAUAUACAGUAAGCGGCCAAGCGAAAGCAUUAAGUAUUCCACCUGGGGAGUACGCCGGCAACGGUGAAACUCAAAGGAAUUGACGGGGGCCCGCACAAGCGGAGGAACAUGUGGUUUAAUUCGAUGAUACGCGAGGAACUUUACCCGGGCUUAAAUUGCAGUGGAAUGAUGUGGAAACAUGUCAGUGAGCAAUCACCGCUGUGAAGGUGCUGCAUGGUUGUCGUCAGCUCGUGCCGUGAGGUGUCGGCUUAAGUGCCAUAACGGGCGCAACCCUUAUCUUUAGUUACUAACAGGUUAUGCUGAGGACUCUAGAGAGACUGCCGUCGUAAGAUGUGAGGAAGGUGGGGAUGACGUCAAAUCAGCACGGCCCUUACGUCCGGGGCUACACACGUGUUACAAUGGGGGGUACAGAAGGCAGCUAGCGGGUGACCGUAUGCUAAUCCCAAAAGCCUCUCUCAGUUCGGAUCGAAGUCUGCAACCCGACUUCGUGAAGCUGGAUUCGCUAGUAAUCGCGCAUCAGCCACGGCGCGGUGAAUACGUUCCCGGGCCUUGUACACACCGCCCGUCAAGCCAUGGGAGCCGGGGGUACCUGAAGUACGUAACCGCAAGGAUCGUCCUAGGGUAAAACUGGUGACUG
rnacentral:rRNA from 1 species